AUUGAACGCUGGCGGCAGGCCUAACACAUGCAAGUCGAGCGGAAGAAGGGGGCUUGCUCCCGGAUUCAGCGGCGGACGGGUGAGUAACGCGUAGGAAUCUACCUAGUAGUGGGGGAUAACGUUCCGAAAGGAACGCUAAUACCGCAUACGUUCUGAGGAAGAAAGCAGGGGAUCGCAAGACCUUGCGCUAUUAGAUGAGCCUGCGUCCGAUUAGCUAGUUGGUGGGGUAAAGGCCUACCAAGGCGACGAUCGGUAACUGGUCUGAGAGGAUGAUCAGUCACACUGGAACUGAGACACGGUCCAGACUCCUACGGGAGGCAGCAGUGGGGAAUAUUGGACAAUGGGGGCAACCCUGAUCCAGCCAUGCCGCGUGUGUGAAGAAGGCCUUCGGGUUGUAAAGCACUUUAAGCGGGGAGGAAGGCUCGAUGGCUAAUAUCCAUCGGGAUUGACGUUACCCGCAGAAUAAGCACCGGCAAACUUCGUGC
rnacentral:rRNA from 1 species